UACGUAGGGUGCAGGCGUUAAUCGGAAUUACUGGGCGUAAAGCGUGCGCAGGCGGUCUGUUAAGAGAGAUGUGAAAUCCCCGGGCUUAACCUGGGAACUGCGUUUCUAACUGGCAGGCUUGAGUGUGGCAGAGGGGGGGUGGAAUUCCACGUGUAGCAGUGAAAUGCGUAGAUAUCGGAAGGAACACCAGUGGCGAAAGCGGCUUCCUGGUCCAGCACCGACGUCAGGCACGAAAGCGUGGGGAGCAAACAGG
rnacentral:rRNA from 1 species